GUGUGAUAUUUUUUAGUAGAUUCGGCUAUCCUCGCAUUUUACUAUUGCUAUUGAUCUAGACGUUUUGAAUGCUCCGUAGGAAGAGAAGGCCAAGGUGAUCUAGACGUUGUUAUUCGUCUCGUUCAUUAACACGCUGAUGCAGGUCUACGUCGGAACUCGUUUGUCGACGGUCAUCGGCAGCUCCUACACCUAUCUCCUCCCGACCAUCUCCAUGAUCCUCAGCAAGCACUACGCCUACUUCAUUGACCCCUACGAGAGAUUUGUGCACACAAUGAGGUCGAUUCAAGGGACAUACAUCGCCACCUACUGCUUCCAGAUAACCGUAGGGUUCUUCGGUGUCUGGAGGAUUUUUUUUUAAGGUUUCCAAUUGCAUUGAAAUUGGGCUUCCAACAAUUAUUCUCCUAGUGAUCUUCGUGCUGUAUCUACCAAAUGCAAUGAGCUAGUGAAAGGAGAGUGAUCUUGGUAGGUUUGCGUUGGUUAUUGUGGUUUCUAUUGUUUGGUUAUACGCAUAUAUUCUCACUGUGACUGGUACCUACAAGAAUCGACCUCUACAAACUCAACUUGGUUGCCGAGCAGAUCGCUCUAGUCUUAUAGAUGGUUCACACUGGUACUGCAACUCUAACAUCAAAAUUUACCAAAUAUCCGUUUUGUUUCUUGCUACUUCAGCUGCAAAAGCUUGUGUGUCUGAUACAUUCAUAUUUCUCUGUUUGAUAUCUAAACAAACACAAGUAAAUGAAUUAACAUUGAGAAUCGUAAGUUACAAUUACUUGCAUGAGUAUAUUGCUGCUGAUGAGUUGGGAUGAGAUUCACACUAUUUAUCCUUAUUCUUCUUUGUUCUAAUUUUCAGAUAUAUCAAGGAGUUACAAGAAAAAUAUUUAGAUUAAUUUAACAGCUUGUCAGUAUUUCACUAACUAAGAGCAAAAAUGUCAUUAUUGAAAGAAACGUAAUGAUGUUAAAUCUGUAAGGAAUGAGCUUUGUUCUUGCAAUUAUGUUCCAAAGCUUGAGGUAAUCCUCUAUAUUAUUUGUUCAGGUUGUUUCUUCGCAAUUGCUUGGUUCAACCUUUCCAAAAAAACACCAUGAGAUUCAACCAUGGUUAACUUUGUCCUGGCUCUCCUUCAAUCAGAUGGAGCCCAGCGCGGUUAUUUCGGCUUGCAAUAUAUAAGAGAUAUAAUUGAAGUUCGCAAAGGCUGUGAUAGAUGCAAAGGAAAUUUCUAAAGUAUGGUCGGAGUGGACGGAAUACAUACAAGACAACAUAUCUAAUGAGUAGAAAAUAUAGGUAUUCAUAAUUCUUUUAGUUAGGUGUUGUAAGUUACAAGUGUUUUGGUUAUUCAUAACUCUUUUGGUUUAGUGAGCCUUCUUUUUUUGCAACUAGCUCGUUCAUCACAGUGUAGGUGUGUAGUUAGUUUGUUACAAGUAUUGUAUAUAUAUUUUUAAGGGUGAUCAUUUAAAAUGGGAUGAUGUAUAUUGUUUUGCUACAAGUGUUGUAUAUAUUGCUUGUACUUCA